rnacentral:rRNA from 1 species
UACGAAGGGGGCUAGCGUUGUUCGGAAUUACUGGGCGUAAAGGGCGCGUAGGCGGUGUGUCAAGUCAGGCGUGAAAGCCCCGGGCUCAACCUGGGAACAGCGCUUGAGACUGGCACGCUCGAGUUCGGGAGAGGAUGGUGGAAUUCCCAGUGUAGAGGUGAAAUUCGUAGAUAUCAGGAGGAACACCAAUGGCGAAGGCAGCUCGCUGGGACGUGACUGACGCUGAGACGCGAAAGCGUGGGGAGCAAACAGG